GGCAGCCCUGCGCUGAGGGGAUGGGCAGUAAAGCCUCAGAAGGGCUCGUGCCCAUGAGAUGACCUCUGCCCACCGCAUCCAAGUAGAAAAGGAGGGAACGGUGCAACGGGAUGCAACAAAGGCGAAAACCAAGAGCAGCAUUCUUUGCUCCUAUUGGCUGACGGGCGGUGGGGACACCUAUACAAGGCGCGCAGACGGGUACUUGAGCCACAGGUGUUCUUCUCAGAGUGUGGCGGGAAAGAGAGCGCUCUGAGCGAGAAGCCACAAUGAAGCCUUCUGGACUGAGGACCUGCUGGUGAAGAAAGAAGCGGCGGGAUGUGGAGCUCCGAGGCAAGCGUGAGGAAGAAGAGGAAGGAAGACGACGACUACGGAGGGGCAAAGGGAGAGGCUCCCUGGGCAAAAGCAUGUCACAUAACUGUAGAGCGUUGCCGGCCCCUUGGGUAACCAGGCCGGCUUUGUGCUGGGCGACCUCCCUGCAACCAGGGCUCGGGUCUUUGCUGUAGUUGGCCUUUUGCCUUGUUGCUCCUUUUGGCUGCCCGGGGAGUGUGGCCCCCUGUACGGAGGGCGAGAGCCACUUCUCCGCACCUGAGUGGGAAACGGAGCUCGCUGGACCCCGAGGGCCCCCUGUAAGCAGGGUAGCGCCCUUUCCCUGCCACUCUCGGUCCCGCCGCUCGGCACGGUUGCCUGCUGGUGACCUCCAGCGUGACGGCCCUGUACUCGGGGCUGUGUGUCACCGCCACUUGUCCCUUGGCCACCUGGGAAGCCCCUUGGCAUGUUGAGGCCCGUGGCCUCCGUGCAGCCUGGGGGCGGGUCAGAGGCUCUUGUCUGCUGCUCGUGGGUUUUUAGAUUUUUUGCCCAGGUUUUUUUUCUGCGCAGCGUUCUCCUUCCCUUCUGGAAAGUUGUACCUGUGUGUUUGCGUCCCCUUCCUUUCCUUGCUUGCGUUUGCGUGGGUGACGAGAGAGUGAGCUUUUCCUUCAGGCCUCCCUGAAAAUAGCUGCAGCCAAGCUUAGGCUUCCCAGGGGGGAACGGAGGACUCGAUG